UACGUAGGGAGCGAGCGUUGUCCGGAUUUACUGGGCGUAAAGGGCGCGUAGGCGGUCCGUUAAGCAUGAAGUGAAAUCUCCAGGGCUCAACCCGGAAACUGCUUUGUGAACUGGCGGACUGGAGGAAGGCAGAGGUGAGUGGAAUUCCCGGUGUAGCGGUGACAUGCAUUGAUAUCGGGAGGAACACCCAUGGCGAAGGCAGCUCACUGGGCCUUUCCUGACGCUGAGGCGCGAAAGCGUGGGUAGCAAACAGA
rnacentral:rRNA from 1 species